AUUGGGAGAGGUUUAAAAAAAAAAAAAAAUCAUUAUCAAAUAACUACAGCUUGAAAAAGUUGGCGGGCGGCACGGAAAACGCGGCCUGGAUCGCGCCGGGGCCGCCGCCGCCGCUCGCAGGCGCCCCGCGGUAGCCAAAAAUGGAAGGAAACACAUCUGUAACGCAUUUGUGUGAUGUUCACCUUUGAGACCGCGCGGCUGGAUGGAGGCGGUGUUGCUGUUUCCCGUACACCUCGCCUUGGACAUGACCGUGACCACAGGCAGCGUCUGAGAGAUCGUGUGACCCUCCUGGGCCCUGACUUCCUUCCUAGAUCUCAGAGCGGAGUCUGGCAGAAAGCCCGUCACAUGGUGUGGCUUCCAGCUCCAAAGUGCACCCCCCAUACGGCUACUGCUCACCAUGGCCACGGCCAUCACGCCCGUUUCAGCUGCCACACCCUGUCGUCUGGACCCGCCGUAGCGGCCACAGCACGAGCUCCACCUCCCGUCUGUCGUCCACACAGCAGCCAGAGCAACUGACAUGCCGAUCAGGUCCCGUCUCUCCCUGCGGAGAACUUCAGAACGGCCUUUGAUGAGAUUUAAGAAUUCCAACCAGUAAAUGUAGGAGCGAUGGGCUUGAGGACCACCAUUUGCCAAAUGCCAGGGUAGAAACUGUUUCCGGAUACUUAUUAAUAAAGGGAAAAUCACAACUUUACGCUGGAGAAACUUGGCAGGCAACAUCUCAAUCACUCGGUCAGAAUUAAUAUCAACCGUAUUGGGAUGAGCUGACAUCACAUGCCUCCCAGGAUGAUGCAACCUGUCUUUUGUGGCAUUUUUUACCCAACAUGCAUACCUUGGAUUGAAUGAUGAGGAAACAUCAGAAAAAACCAAAUAGAAGGGUAUUCUAGAAAAGAAGUGGCCAGUGUGGACACAAAGGUGUCAAGGUCGUGAAAGACACGGAUGAGGAACUGUUCCAGAUUCAAGGAGACUGGAGAGUCGUGACAACUGAGAAUAACGUGACCCUACACUGAAUCCUGAACCAGAAGAAAGACGUUAGGGCAACUACCUAGGAAAUGCAAAGAAGGUCUGUAGGUUACGUAGUGGGAUGUCCCGAUUUUGACGCUGUGCCGUGCCAUGUUGACAUCUGGAGAAUCCGGAUAGAGUUGAUGGGGAUUCUUUGUCCCAUUUUUGCAGCUUCUUGGAAAGUAUGAAGUUCCUUCAAAAUGAAAAGUUCACGAGAACAACAAACUCUUGCUUCCAAAACUCUUUUAGUGCCCGUUGCCUGAAGGAAGAGGCCCAAUUUCUUAGCCAGACUGUCACCAACCUUGUGUCUCUUGCUCCAACCCACCUGGAGCGGGGUCGGUGGCCCCGGAGCACACAGGGUGGGUCUGCCUGUUACCCCGAAGGCAGUGGGGGUUUCCUGGGAAGGUUUUGGCUGGGAAGGGCCGUGGGUCAAGUCGACGGCAUCUUGCUGGGAGGAUUCACUUGGAUACGGAGAAGCCAGCGGAGAGAGAAUUUGCAGAAGUUCAAGGGGGAGAGAAUGAAGACAGAGGAGAGGCCAGACUCCAGAAGUGUUCGGGAGAUGGCAUCAUUAGGACCUGGUGAUGGCAUGUGGGGGGAGAAUAAACAGAGAAAGCAAGGGUGACUUUAAAGCCGUUGGGUCCCUGGAGCCCCAGGGCAGAUUCCAUCUGGGUGGCCGUUCAGGGUGUGGAACGUUCCACACUUGUUCCUGAAGAUGUGUUCCCCACGCUUCCGCAUCCGCUCAGUGCUUGGAAGGCGCUAUGGAUUGCCUCGCUCGGGCUCUCUCUGGCUUCCGGUUAUGUUCAGCCAAGGAGAGGGCAACAGGGGACAGAGACUGGGGUAUCCCCCCAAUGCCUACUUUUCCCAGUUUGGCAGUGGCUGUACUAAUCCCACUACGGCAGCCACUAGUUGGACAACCUCUCCGUGGCCUUCCGUGCCUGGAGGGGGGUGUGGAACCGCUGAUCCCCGGUGCCUCGCCACCCCUUCCCGGCCCCCUUCGCUCUCACCCUUGUAACGAGUCUCCUUAUUCAGUUUCUUCAAUCACCCCUUUGAGUGAGAGAUCUGCUGCUUACCGGGUCCCAGCAAAUAAAUACACCCGGUCAACAAUGCCUUCUCUGGA